rnacentral:rRNA from 1 species
AUCGCCUCCCGACCCCGCCCAAUAUGGGAGGUCCCGCCUGCCCUGUGAUAAAAAUUUAACGGCCGCGGUAUUUUGACCGCGCAAAGGUAGCGCAAUCACUUGUCUUUUAAAUGGAGACCUGUAUGAAUGGCACGACGAGGGCUUGACUGUCUCCCCCUCCUAGUCAAUGAAAUUGAUCUUCCCGUGCAGAAGCGGGAAUAAGCACAUAAGACGAGAAGACCCUGUGGAGCUUUAGACAACAAGUAGAACCUGUAAAGGUGACCCCCUCCCCCAACGGGCACGAAACAGAAGGUUCUUUCUACUUUGAUGUCUUCGGUUGGGGCGACCGCGGGGAAGAAUAAAACCCCCACGUGGAACACGAAAUGAUUCCUUAAGCUAAGAAUGACAAUUCUAAGAAGCAGAACAUCUGACCUAAUUUGACCCGGCCUUUGCCGAUCAACGAAACCAGUUACCCCAGGGAUAACAGCGCAAUCCUCUCCCAGAGCCCAUAUCGACGAGGGGGUUUACGACCUCGAUGUUGGAUCAGGACAUCCUAAUGGUGCAGCCGCUAUUAAGGGUUCGUUUGUUCAACGAUUAAAGUCCUACGUGAU